rnacentral:rRNA from 1 species
GACAGAGGGUGCAAACGUUGUUCGGAAUUACUGGGCGUAAAGCGCGUGUAGGCGGCAGGGCAUGUCGGAUGUGAAAUCCCGUGGCUCAACCACGGAAGUGCACCCGAAACUGCCCAGCUUGAGUCUCGGAGAGGAAGGCGGAAUGCUUGGUGUAGAGGUGAAAUUCGUAGAUAUCAAGCGGAACACCGGUGGCGAAGGCGGCCUUCUGGACGACUGUUGACGCUGAGGUGCGAAAGCGUGGGGAGCAAACAGG